rnacentral:ncRNA from 1 species
ACUGUGGAGCGUACAAGAACUUGUGAGUAGUGUGUCACUUGCGACCACAAAAGCAUACACGAUGAAGCAGUAA